rnacentral:rRNA from 1 species
CGGAUCGCAGGCUGCAACCCGCCUGCGUGAAGUCGGAAUCGCUAGUAAUCGCGGAUCAGCAUGCCGCGGUGAAUACGUUCCCGGGCCUUGUACACACCGCCCGUCACACCAUGAGAGUCGGGAACACCCGAAGUCCGUAGCCUAACCAAUCUGGAGGGCGCGGCCGAAGGUGGGUUCGAUAAUUGGGGUGAAGUCGUAACAAGGUAAC